rnacentral:lncRNA from 1 species
UCAAAAUUGGAGAAAUUAGGGCCAGCAAGGUAUAUACCUCCAUUCCCCAUUUGAUGUAAUCUGGUGACUCACAAGCCUUGUAUUCAUCAACCAAACUUUCUAUAAUAUCCCUUGAUUCAUCAAACUCUGAAAGAUCAUUGUCCUGUUCAGAUUGCACAAUAGAUUAGGAUAAAAUAUCAACAUAAUAGGAUUGCUUUUGUAUCCAACUGCAAAAUAUUAUUUCAUUUUGGAGGCAAAAGACAUGUAGCAAAAGUAACAAACAAUUUACACUAACUAUUUUAUUCAUGGAAUUCACAUCUUUUAACCAAUCUAUUUUAGUAACACAUAUCCUUUAUACAAAUAUGCAGGGAUGCAUGUAAAUAGACAUGUUACAUGUAUAUGCACAAAACCCAUGCAUACAGGUGCAUGCAUAUGUCACGCCCUGGGCGGGCGCACCAGGCACAUCAGCCAGACCAGCAGGCGAGCCAGCAGCUAAGGCCCGCAGACCAGGCGUGCUGGCGGGUAUCAGUGCGCAAAGCCUAUCAAACGAGCUCCAAACGCCCGCCCAUCUUGCAUGCCAACUCAUGAGACCAAGGCCUGGCAUUUGGGCUGCCCGCACCACAUCCAGAAGGGCCCGAGGUGCUGGAUACGCAAAGGAAGCUUCUGGAACCAGGCAGGAUCAGCAUCAGCAUCCUGGCAGAUUUGGUUGACCCUAAAAAUCAGGAACCAGCAUCUUGAUUAAAUGUAAUCCCAUGAUUGUAGCCUUUAUUUUAGGGAUUUGCCAUUAAGUUGUAGCCGGAGCCUCAACUAUAAAUAGAGGGCUGCUCCACCCUCAUUUGUACACCAUCAAACACUUCUAUUUCAGUGAAUACAAGAGCAUUUCCAGAAUUCUGUUUUCCUGUCCUAUUUCUCUUUAACUUGCGUAAUCAGCCCUUCCCUUUGUUCUAGUGCCCGCACGCUUGUGUUUUAGGCUGACUUAGGCAUAAAGGACGAGAUUCCAAGCCUAAGGCCGCACGGAUUCUGAGUCUAAGGUCGGAGCCCGUGACAGUUGGUAUCAGAGCAAGUUCGAUUCUGCGUGUUUGUGUUGUGCAGGUUAGAUCGUGAUUGAGGAGAUGGCAUCCCAAAGCGACGUUGCUAGCCAACAACCAGAGGCCCAGGAGCAUGGGCGAGGAAGAGGCAAGAAAGCUUGUUCUAGAGAUAUCUGGUCUACUAUGGACGGUAGGCUGGCCAAGGUGGAGGUGACCAUAGGCGACAUGGGGGAGAAGCUGGAGGAAGUAGAAACUCACAUUGCAUCGCUAGACUCCAUGGGGGAGGAGAUCCAAAGUGAGCUAGCAGCUGCUCUCAACAAUGGCCUGGAUGAGAUCACCCGAAAGAAUGAAUCCUUGGAGGCGGAAGUUCUGACUUUGCGAGAUGGCAUGGAGGCCAUGCGCCAGCGGAUGGAGGAGCUUACCAGCGAGCUCGUUACUUGCAAGACUGCCAUUGGGAAUGGCAUGUUUGCUGGAGUGUCCAGAUCCAGAUUGGAUGUCCCCAAGCCUAAGGAGUUCAAGGGGACUAGGGCGGCCAAGGAAGUAGACAAUUACCUUUGGGGUAUGGAGCAGUACUUCCAGGCCAUGGGCAUGCAAGACGAGGCGAUAAAGGUAAGCACCGCUGCUAUGUAUCUCACUGAUGUAGCCUUAUUGUGGUGGAGGCGCAGGUGUGAUGAUGUCAGGCGUGGGAACGCCAAGAUUGGAACCUGGGCAGAGUUCCAAAAAGAGUUCAGAGAACAAUUUUACCCGGAGUAUGCCGAUGAUGAGGCGCGGGCAAAGUUGCGCAGGUUGAGCCAGCAAGGGAACAUAAGAGAGUAUGUUCAAAAAUUCUCUGAACUGAUGCUACAGAUCUCGGAUCUAGGCGAGAAGGACGCAUUCUUUGCUUUCAUGGAUGGGCUGAAGCUGUGGGUGAAGCAUGAGCUACAAAGGAGGGGAGUUCAUGACUUGGCUAAAGCCAUGACCACUGCCGAGGCAUUGAUAGAGUUCAAGCCUCUGAACAAGUUCGAGUCUACCAAGCCCAAGGGUAAGGGCAGGGACGAUAGGGACCGGAAGAAGCAGUCCAAUGGGAAGGACCGUGACCGGGAGUCCAAGGAUGGAGACCGAGACCGUUCAACCAAGGAUGGCGAGAGGAAGCCAUCAGCAGGCAAGUGGAAAGCAAAAGGGGACCGAGAGCCACUAGCAUGUUACCUAUGUGGAGGGAGCCACAUAGCACGCAAUUGCCCGCAGAAGGGCAAGCUGGCUGCUGUAGACAGGGAGUCUGACGAGGAGCCAGAGUCAGGGGCAGCAAAGCUUGGGUCGUUGGUGCUCAAUGCUGUCCAGAGUAAGGGGGGCCGCAAGCCAAAGGGCUUGAUGUUUGCGGAUCUGAUGGUUGCGGGUCAGAAGGUGAGCGCACUGGUGGACACAGGUGCCUCACAUCUUUUUAUUUCAGGUGAUGGAGCCCGGAAGCUCGGACUAAAGGUGCAGAAAGGGACUGGUACCAUUAAGACGGUGAACUCCAAGGAAGUUCCAGCCAUUGGAGUAGCAUGGGGAGUGGAGUUGCAGCUUGGAGAUUGGAAAGGCAAGGAGACCAUUGAGGUAAUACCCCUUGACGACUAUGAGUUUGUGAUUGGGUUGGAUUUCCUUGUUCGGAUUAACGCCCUCCUUGUGCCUUUUGCCGAUUGUGUUUGCAUCUUGGAUGCACGGUGCCAAUGCCUAGUACCAUUGAGGAGAGGGUCUGGAGUUGGGUCACGGGUGGUGUCAGCCAUCCAAUUUGCCAAGGCGGUAAGCAGACAAGAAGACACCUUCUUGGCAGCCCUGAAAUAUGAUGAACCAAGGGAGAAGGAGACCGAGUCACCCUUGGAGGUGCUAAAGGUGCUGAAGACCUUUAGUGAUGUGAUGCCCGCAAAGCUGCCUAGCAAGCUACCACCUAAGAGGGAGGUGGACCACAAGAUCGAGCUGGUGUCCGAGGCCAAGCCACCAGCCAGAGCCCCUUACCGAAUGUCUCCACCAGAGUUGGAGGAGUUGAGGAAGCAGCUCAAGGAGUUAGUUGAUGCUGGCUUCAUCAGGCCAUCGAAAGCACCCUAUGGUGCACCGGUUCUAUUCCAGCGCAAGCAUGAUGGGUCGUUGCGGCUGUGCAUAGACUACCGGGCUUUGAACAAGCUGACCAUUAAGAACAAGUACCCCAUCCCACUCAUUGCGGACUUGUUCGAUCAACUUGGGAGCGCAAGGUGGUUCACCAAGCUGGAUUUGAGGUCAGGCUAUUAUCAAGUCAGGAUCGCGGAGGGAGAUGAGCAAAAGACAGCAUGUGUCACUCGGUAUGGUUCGUAUGAGUUCUUGGUGAUGCCUUUCGGACUCACGAAUGCCCCAGCAACAUUCUGCACCCUUAUGAACAAGGUACUUCAGUCAUUCCUUGAUCGGUUUGUUGUGGUUUAUUUGGAUGACAUUGUGAUCUACAGCCAGACUUUGGGAGAGCAUGUAGACCACUUGAGACAGGUGUUCGAGGUGUUGCGGGCGCACAAGCUGUUUGUCAAGAGGGAGAAGUGCUCAUUCGCCCAGCAGGAGAUCCCAUUCCUUGGCCACAUAGUGGGAGGUGGCAGGAUACGCAUGGAUGAAGGCUAGAUAGACGCCAUCCUGGAGUGGCAACCGCCAGCCAAGGUCACUGAGUUGAGAUCGUUCCUUGGGCUGGUUAACUACUACAGGCGCUUCAUCAAGGGUCACUCAGCAAUAGCCACGCCAUUGACUGACUUGCUCAAGAAAGGGAGAGCAUGGGAGUGGAGCGCAGGGUGCCAGGAAGCCUUUGACAGGUUGAAGCGGGCUGUGACCGAGGAGCCAGUCUUGGCCUUGCCAGACCAUGCCAAGCCGUAUGAGGUGCAUACGGAUGCAUCAGACUUUGCCAUAGGGGGCGUGUUGAUGCAAGAGGGACGUCCAGUCGCGUUUGAGAGCAGGAAGCUGAACGAGACUGAACGCAAGUACACGGUCCAAGAGAAGGAGAUGACUGCAGUGGUGCACUGCUUGCGCACUUGGCGCCAUUACCUGUUGGGGUCGAGGUUCGUGGUGAGGACGGACAAUGUGGCAACCAGCUACUUCUAGACGCAGAAGAAGCUGUCCCCCAAGCAGGCGAGAUGGCAAGAUUUUCUUGCGGAAUUUGACUUUCAGAUGGAGUACAAGCCGGGGCGGGCGAACCUAGUGGCAGACGCCCUGAGCAGAAAGGCUAACCUUGCUGCCAUUAGCCAACCAGAGGGGUCACUGGUGCCGCGCAUCAAGGAGGGACUUACGCAUGAUCCUACAGCCAAGGCUUUGAUGGAGUACGCCCAGCAAGGUAAGACUAGGCGGUUUUGGUUGCAGGAUGGGUUGCUGUACACCAGAGGCAGUAGACUGUUUGUGCCGCAGCACGGGAAGCUCCGCAAGGAAGUUUUGCAAGAGUGUCAUGAUUCAAGGUGGGCUGGACACCCAGGAGUGAGCCGCACCUUGGCACUGAUCGAGGACCGGUACUACUGGCCGCACAUGAGGGACGAUGUGGAGGCCUAUGUGAAGACUUGUCUUGUGUGCCAACAAGACAAGGUGGAGCUCAAGAAACCAGGGGGUCUCUUGGAGCCAUUGCCAGUGCCAGAGCGACCAUGGGAGAGUGUUUCUCUGGACUUUAUAGUCGGUCUACCCAAGACAGAGGGGUUUGGAAGCAUCAUGGUGUGGUGGACAGGUUUUCCAAGUAUGGAAUCUUCAUUCCAGCAACCAAGGAGUGCCCAGCCGAGGAGGCAGCUCGAUUGUUCCUGAAGAACAUGUGAAGUACUGGGGAGUGCCGAGGACCAUUGUUAGUGAUCGGACGGGCGUUUCACGAGCAGGUUCUGGACUGAGUUGUUCAAGCUGUUGGGGUCAGACUUGAACUUUUCCACCAGCAUGCAUCCGCAGACCGAUGGGCAGACAGAACGUGUGAACGGACUACUGGAGGUCUACCUCAGGCACUAUGUGAGUGCCACACAAAGAGACUGGCCAAAGCUACUGGAUAUUGCGCAGUUUUCCUACAACUUGCAAAGGAGCGAGGCAACGAACCAGAGCCCAUUUGAGGUUGUGACAGGGCAACAACCACUAACACCCGGUUCGAUUGCUGCAGGUUAUACAGGGCCGAAUCCAGCAGCAUACAAGUUUGCCAAGGCAUGGCAGGAGCAAACUGACUUGGCCAGAGUUUGUCUACACAAGGCGGCCAAGAGGUCGAAGAAGUGGGCAGACCAGCAUAGGCGGGAUGUGCAGUUUCAGGUUGGAGACUUUGUGUUGGUGAAGCUGCAUCCCAUUGUGCGCCAUAGGGGGCUGCACAAAGGCCUAGUCCGGAGGUAUGAGGGACCUUUCCAAGUAGUCAAGAGAGUAGGCAAGGUUGCCUACAAGCUGGAUAUGCCACCCAAGCCGAGGGUACACCCGGUGUUCCAUGUGAGCAUGCUCAAGCCGUUCCAUGAGGAUGAGGGAGAUCCAAGACGGGCAGAGUCAAAGCGUGCACCGUUGGGAACAAGGGCCUCAUAUGAGAAGGAGGUCCACAGCAUUAUGGCUGACCGGGAGGUGAGACGGAAGAACUAUCAACCAAGACAUGAGUACUUGGUGCGCUGGAAGGGACUUCCAGACAGUGAGGCGAGCUGGGAACCAGCAGAGGACUUAUGGCAGUUCGGGGACCAGAUCAGGCAGUACCAUGCAGAAGACGCAACGAGGCGUUGCGCAAUCAGGUGGGGGAGAAUGUCACGCCCUGGCGGGCGCGCCAGGCACAUCAGCCAGACCAGCAGGCGAGCCAGCAGCUAAGGCCCGCAGACCAGGCGUGCUGGCGGGUAUCAGUGCGCAAAGCCUAUCAAACGAGCUCCAAACGCCCGCCCAUCUUGGCAGGCCAACUCCAUGAGACCAAGGCCUGGCAUUUUGGCUGCCCGCACCACAUCCAGAAGGGCCCGAGGUGCUGGAUACGCAAGGGAAGCUUCUGGAACCAGGCAGGAUCAGCAUCAGCAUCCUGGCAGAUUUGGUUGACCCUGAAAAUCAGGAACCAGCAUCUUGAUUAAAUGUAAUCCCAUGAUUGUAGCCUUUAUUUUAGGGAUUUGCCAUUAAGUUGUAGCUGGAGCCUCAACUAUAAAUAGAGGGCUGCUCCACCCUCAUUUGUACACCAUCAAACACUUCUGUUUCAGUGAAUACAAGAGCAUUUCCAGAAUUCUGUUUUCCUGUCCUGUUUCUCUUUAACUUGCGUAAUCAGCCCUUCCCUUUGUUCUAGUGCCCGCACGCUUGUGUUUUAGGCUGACUUAGGCAUAAAGGACGAGAUUCCAAGCCUAAGGCCGCAAGGAUUCUGAGUCUAAGGUCGGAGCCCGUGACACAUACAUGUUCAUAAGAACACACAGAAAGUAUAUUGACAGCAGCCAUAUAUUAGAAACUGG